rnacentral:rRNA from 1 species
GUCCACGCCCUAAACGAUGCAUAUUUGGUGUGGGUCAUUCAGUUGAUCCGUGCCGGAGCUAACGCGUUAAAUAUGCCGCCUGGGGAGUACAGUCGCAAGGCUGAAACUCAAAGGAAUUGACGGGGGCCCCGCACAAGCGGUGGAGCAUGUGGUUCAAUUCGACGCAACGCGAAGAACCUUACCUGGGCUCGAACGGCUUCUCAACGCCGGUAGAAAUACCGGUAUCCCGCAAGGGAGUGGAGUCGAGGUGCUGCAUGGCUGUCGU